AACGAACGCUGGCGGCAUGCCUAACACAUGCAAGUCGAACGGGAUCCGGACUUCGGUUCGGUGAGAGCGGCGGACGGGUGAGUAACGCGUGGGAACCUGCCCAGUGGUGGGGGAUAACUGCGGGAAACUGCAGCUAAUACCGCAUGAGCCCGAGAGGGGAAAGAUUUAUCGCCAUUGGAGGGGCCCGCGUUCGAUUAGGUAGUUGGUGAGGUAAUGGCUCACCAAGCCGACGAUCGANAGCUGGUCUGAGAGGAUGAUCAGCCACACUGGGGACUGAGAUACGGCCCAGACUCCUACGGGAGGCAGCAGUGGGGAAUAUUGGACAAUGGGGGCAACCCUGAUCCAGCAAUGCCGCGUGAGUGAUGAAGG
rnacentral:rRNA from 1 species